UUAAUAUUUAUAAAAUAUCGAUUUUAGAUUAUUUGUCGAUUUAAUACUAAUUCAAUAAUUCGAUAUUUUGAAAGAAAUUGGACUCGGGGCUCAGGAAGGACGAUCCAUCAGACAGGAAGUAUAAAAACUACGGUUGAGGUACUGCUGGGGACCACGGAAACGAGUAGUGGCGAGGAUUUCACUAUUACCAAGUUCACCUAAGUUAAUGUUAAGUUGUAACAAGUUUCAGUAAAGAUUCGAGAUUAAGUUAUGUACUUUAAUUAAGGAAUUGAGAAGGAUGAUUAUGUGAAUUUUGGAGUUUAAUA